GAUGAACGCUGGCGGCGUGCCUAAUACAUGCAAGUCGAGCGAACAGACGAGGAGCUUGCUCCUCUGACGUUAGCGGCGGACGGGUGAGUAACACGUGGAUAACCUACCUAUAAGACUGGGAUAACUUCGGGAAACCGGAGCUAAUACCGGAUAAUAUAUUGAACCGCAUGGUUCAAUAGUGAAAGACGGUUUUGCUGUCACUUAUAGAUGGAUCCGCGCCGCAUUAGCUAGUUGGUAAGGUAACGGCUUACCAAGGCAACGAUGCGUAGCAGACCUGAGAGGGUGAUCGGCCACACUGGAACUGAGACACGGUCCAGACUCCUACGGGAGGCAGCAGGAGGGAAUCUUCCGCAAUGGGCGAAAGCCUGACGGAGCAACGCCGCGUGAGUGAUGAAGGUCUUCGGAUCGUAAAACUCUGUUAUUAGGGAAGAACAAAUGUGUAAGUAACUAUGCACGUCUUGACGGUACCUAAUCAGAAAGCCACGGCUAACUACGU
rnacentral:rRNA from 1 species